rnacentral:misc_RNA from 1 species
UCCCCGUUACCGGGGCAGUCUAGCUAGAAAAAUUCAACUAACUAUAAGGGUUGCGCUCGUUGAUGGACUUAACCAAACAUCUCACGACACGAGCUGACGACGGCCAUGCAUCACCUGUCACUGCGGCCCGAAGGCACUCUCUCCUUUCGGAGAAAUUAGCAGGAUGUCAAGCCCUGGUAAGGUUCUUCGCUUUGUAUCGAAUUAAAGAACACGCUCCACCGCUUGUGCGGGUCCCCGUCAAUUCCUUUAUGUUUUAGUCUUGCGACCGUACUCCACAGGCGGGAUGCUUAACGCGUUAGCUUCGCUACUAGGAGGGUCGAUACUCCUAACAGCUAGCAUCCAUCGUUUAGGGCGUGGACUAC